rnacentral:rRNA from 1 species
CCUUCAAUGCAUGACGGAGGGUGGGGCAUUCUUUUGCUGUGGCUUUCUAAUUUUGCGUCACUGAUGGAUGGACCCGCGGUGCAUUAGCUAGUUGGUGAGGUAACGGCUCACCAAGGCAACGAUGCAUAGCCGACCUGAGAGGGUGAUCGGCCACACUGGGACUGAGACACGGCCCAGACUCCUACGGGAGGCAGCAGUAGGGAAUCUUCGGCAAUGGACGAAAGUCUGACCGAGCAACGCCGCGUGAGUGAAGAAGGUUUUCGGAUCGUAAAACUCUGUUGUUAGAGAAGAACAAGGAUGAGAGUAAAAUGUUCAUCCCUUGACGGUAUCUAACCAGAAAGCCACGGCUAACUACGUGCCAGCAGCCGCGGUAAUACGUAGGUGGCAAGCGUUGUCCGGAUUUAUUGGGCGUAAAGCGAGCGCAGGCGGUUUCUUAAGUCUGAUGUGAAAGCCCCCGGCUCAACCGGGGAGGGUCAUUGGAAACUGGGAGACUUGAGUGCAGAAGAGGAGAGUGGAAUUCCAUGUGUAGCGGUGAAAUGCGUAGAUAUAUGGAGGAACACCAGUGGCGAAGGCGGCUCUCUGGUCUGUAACUGA